rnacentral:rRNA from 1 species
GUGGGGAAUCUUCCGCAAUGGACGAAAGUCUGACGGAGCGACGCCGCGUGAGUGAAGAAGGCCUUCGGGUCGUAAAGCUCUGUCAUCAGGGACGAACGGCCGGUGGAGUGGAAAGCCACCGGAUUGACGGUACCUGAGAAGGAAGCCACGGCUAACUACGUGCCAGCAGCCGCGGUAAUACGUAGGUGGCAAGCGUUGUCCGGAAUUAUUGGGCGUAAAGCGCGCGCAGGUGGGAUCUUAAGUCCAUUUUGAAAGUUCGGAGCUCAACUCCGUGAUGGGAUGGAAACUGGGAUUCUUGAGUACCGGAGAGGAAAGCGGAAUUCCCCGUGUAGCGGUGAAAUGCGUAGAUAUGGGGAGGAACACCAGUGGCGAAGGCGGCUUUCUGGACGAAAACUGACGCUGAGGCGCGAAAGCCAGGGGAGCGAACGGGAUUAGAAACCCUAGUAGUCC